UACGUAGGGGGCAAGCGUUGUUCGGAAUUACUGGGCGUAAAGGGCGCGUAGGCGGCACGGCAAGUCAGGAGUGAAAGCCCUGGGCUCAACCCGGGAACUGCUUUUGAAACUGCCGAGCUAGAGUGCGGAAGGGGCAACUGGAAUUCUCGGUGUAGCGGUGAAAUGCGUAGAUAUCGAGAGGAACACCUGCGGCGAAGGCGGGUUGCUGGGCCGACACUGACGCUGAUGCGCGAAAGCCAGGGGAGCGAACGGG
rnacentral:rRNA from 1 species